ACAAAGGAGGGUAAUGGGGAACAAAUAAGAACAAAGAAGAUUAUUAUUUUUACCAAGCAAUCUUGACAAAGAAGACAAAGCCAAGAGUCUUCACUGAGUAGUUAAGAAACUCCAGGUUUCUCUCUCAGUAAGGAGGAUAGAAAAGACAGAAGAAAGGUCAGUGAGUGUCCUCUCAACAGAAGGAGGGCAAAACAGUGGCAAGUUAACUGGGAAAGGCGGACUGAAAUGCUGAGAGCUUCUGCUUCCGAGCAUCCCCUGAGCCUGCUGGGAAUGCACCCUCAGGCUCUGCCCCAGACCUCCCGACCUUGAGUCUGCAACCUAACAGACUGCAGAGUGAGCCCAGGGUGCCUCAGAUCGUGAGAAGCAAGACAUCCGGCAGCAUACUCUUGUUAAGUGUGACCACCUGCACUGACUUACAUAAGCAGAUUUAGGGGCUGGAGAGGAGGAUCAUGUCUAAAGGUAUGUACUGCCCUUGCGGAAGACCUGAGUUUGGUUCCCCAUGCCCACAUUGGAUAGCUCACACCUGAACUGAAUGAUCAAAGAUGGGGUAGAAACCCUGGAUCAGGAUUAAAAAUUUCUACAGCAUGUAACUUCAGCUCUGGGGAGAUCAGAUUCCCUCUUCUGGCCACUGUAGGCGUCUGCAUACAUGUGCACAUAACCCCACACAGACACACAUACACACAACUUAAAAUUAUGAUGAUUAAAAGAUUUAAAUGUA